rnacentral:rRNA from 1 species
GACGAACGCUGGCGGCGUGCUUAACACAUGCAAGUCGAGCGAUGAAACACCUUCGGGUGCGGAUUAGCGGCGAACGGGUGAGGAACACGUGAGGAAUCUGCCUUCCACUCUGGGAUAACUCCGGGAAACCGGGGCUAAUACCGGAUACUUUCAACUGGCGGCAUCGCCGGUUGAAGAAAGUUUUUCGGUGGAAGAUGACCUCGCGGCCUAUCAGCUUGUUGGGGAGGGAAAGGCUCACCAAGGCGACGACGGGUAGCCGGCCUGAGAGGGCGAACGGCCACACUGGGACUGAGACACGGCCCAGACGCCUACGGGAGGCAGCAGUGGGGAAUAUUGGGCAAUGGAGGAAACUCUGACCCAGCGACGCCGCGUGAGGGAUGAAGGCCUUCGGGUUGUAAACCUCUUUCAGCAGGGAAUAAGCGAAAGUGAAGGUACCUGCAGAAGAAGCACCGGCUAACUAUGUGCCAGCCGCCGCUGUAA